GACUGAUUGUGCAUGUCUACAGUAUACUUUGCAUCAAUGCAUCAACUUUUAUUGUACUCAAUAUAUGUACUUUAAUUACAGAAUGUUCAGUUUAUCCCUUAAUUAAAUUAGUCAAGUAUAGUAGCAUAUAUUAUAUUCUGGCAGUGUCAUAUCAGUUAGUUUAAUUGUUUGAAACUGUUCACAAGCGUCAUUAACUGCUCUGUAUUACACCUGGAAGGGAAUUUUUCUAAACAUCUCCUCGCAAUUUCUUUUAAAGGUCGGUAUUUGCAACGGCUAUAAAUUCUGGAAACGACAAUACCAACAGAGUAAAUAUCACUCUUUAUUGAGGGUGUGUGUGUACCAUCGACCACUUCUGGAGCAAUAUGUCUGUGAUGUUUGAAAUAUUUUUGUUGUUCCUCAAGGGUCAGAACUUUCCUCUUUGCUUUAUUCAUAAGACAUGCCUUACCAAAGUCAAUAAGUAUUGGACAACACAAACGCGAGCAGACUACAAGUAAUAUGUUGUCGCACUACAACUCCUACA